rnacentral:rRNA from 1 species
GAUGAACGCUAGCGGCAGGCUUAAUACAUGCAAGUCGAGGGGCAGCACAGAUAGCAAUAUUGGGUGGCGACCGGCAAACGGGUGCGGAACACGUACACAACCUUCCUUUUAGUGUGUGAUAGCCCAGAGAAAUUUGGAUUAAUACCACAUAGUAUAUUGGAGUGGCAUCACUUUGAUAUUAAAGAUUUAUCGCUAAAAGAUGGGUGUGCGUAUGAUUAGGUAGUUGGUAGAGGUAACGGCUCACCAAGCCUUCGAUCAUUAACUGGUGUGAGAGCCCGACCAGUCACACGGGCACUGAGACACGGGCCCGACUCCUACGGGAGGCAGCAGUAAGGAAUAUUGGUUAAUGGACGGAAGUCUGAACCAGCCAUGCCGCGUGAAGGAUGACGGCCCUCUGGGUUGUAAACUUCUUUUAUGUGGGACGAAAAAGGGCCAUUUUUGGUCAACUGACGGUACCAUAGGAAUAAGCACCGGCUAACUCCGUGCCAGCAGCCGCCGUAA